UACAGCUACCACCCGCAGGCAAGUUCGGAUCGGGGCCACGAGCAGGAAGCAUCUUACCCUUGCCUAAGCCCCCCUCUAACGGCUCUACCGCUACUACCCAGCGGCCGGCGCCGAAGAAAAGGGCAGAAAACCGAGACGGGGAAUUAUCAACGGGGGGAACUGCGAGCGAGCGCCCUCUACUGCACACCCCGCCCACAUCCAAAUUACUGGGCUGCUUUCGGAACACGAGCACUUAAACCGACCUCAGAGCAGCUCACUUUCCGCGCAUGCCCAAGAGCCUACAGCCCGCCCCACCAGGCGACGCAGUGACGGGGCUAGCCCUCUGCGCAUGCGGCUCAGGUUUGAGCGCUUACCGUUUGCCUCUCUGCGUCGUCCUCCUCCGCGUGCUUCUCCUCCAGGAGAUCGAGCCGGCUCGCUUCCAUUUUCUCCAAGCAGAACCGCUUCUCCCGGCUCCAGGACGAAGGCAUCGUCUUCCAAGAGGCAGGAGGCGGUAGCCGCGGGUCCUCCUCGGUGGCUGGGCAGCCUCGCUGCAGCCGGGAAAUGGUCAGCCCCCUCUGCCGCUGCUCCCGGCUGGCGGGAAUCUGCCUGACGGGGACGGGAAAGGAAAGCAUCUCCCAGCCGUCGCAAGCCGGGCUCCUUGGCUAGUAGCAUCAUCAUUUCCCAGAAGUGGAUGUUGAGGUCGAGGGGCCUCUGAGGCUGGUUGCUGGCGUCGUUCAUCCUGGGAUUCUUGGCGUGAGGCAGCAGGCGGGCAGAAAAUUUCGGUGCUAAGAGUUGAGCAGUGCCGGUCGCAGAGUGAGGGCUAGGCGGCCAAAGGCCCAGUUUAUAGAGCCUUCGUGGGGUCGCGAUAAUGCAGGAGCCAGUGGCGAGAACAGCCCCACCCUCUUCCUAUUGGCCAGGUGUUUCCGGUGUAAAAAGAAAAACAUCUCUGUGGUUAGACUGUUUCCGUUAGUGUAUGCACCAUCACGUUCACCAACCAGCUGCUUUUGCACUAGACCGAGCCACACUGUUUAGGACCUAUAUAACAAAUCCAGAGCAUCGAAUGUGCAGUUAGCAUUAUCCUAACUAUUUUUAUAGGGCUUUAAGUACUUCCUAACAAUGACUGCAUCACCUUGUCAAAACAUAUUUAUUUUAUAGCAGCAGCCCUGUAUGGCUGGCACCUUUUUAAAUGUGGACCUGCUUCUUUGCCUUUAACAGCAUCCUCAUUCAUAGAAGUUAAAUAGUUGAAGCUUUUCUGGAGUGAAGAUAACGUUUAGGAAAAAAGGUUCAUUGCUCUGCUAAAUUUCAGUGUUUUUAGCUGCAUUUAAAGGCACAGAAGCAGGGCCAAUUAAAAAAAGGUAAACACUUUAAAACAAAAGUAAGUAUCCUUACUUUUGUAAAACAAAAAUAAUCAGUUUAAACAAUAAUUUAAUGAUAGAAUUGGUAUCAGCUAUCCGUCAGAUCAACAAUUAAAAUGUAGGGUGGAAGGGGAAUGCUGUAACCUGUAAGUUGUCUGAACCCAUUGUUUAGAACAGGACAUAAAUAAAAUAAACUGUACACAUAAACUCAAAUCCAACAAUCCUGAAAUCAGUAAGUAGAAACAUUUGGACCAAAAUACAAUACUA